rnacentral:rRNA from 1 species
CAGCAGUCGCCGCGGGAAUACGAAGGGGGCUAGCGUUGCUCGGAAUUACUGGGCGUAAAGGGAGCGUAGGCGGACAUUUAAGUCAGGGGUGAAAUCCCAGAGCUCAACUCUGGAACUGCCUUUGAUACUGGGUGUCUUGAGUGUGAUAGAGGUAUGUGGAACUCCGAGUGUAGAGGUGAAAUUCGUAGAUAUUCGGAAGAGCACCAGUGGCGAAGGCGACAUACUGGAUCAUUACUGACGCUGAGGCUCGAAAGCGUGGGGAGCAAACAGGAUUAGAUACCCGCGUAGUCCCUGUCUCUUAUAC